rnacentral:rRNA from 1 species
UACGUAGGUCCCGAGCGUUGUCCGGAUUUAUUGGGCGUAAAGCGAGCGCAGGCGGUUAGAUAAGUCUGAAGUUAAAGGCUGUGGCUUAACCAUAGUACGCUUUGGAAACUGUUUAACUUGAGUGCAAGAGGGGAGAGUGGAAUUCCAUGUGUAGCGGUGAAAUGCGUAGAUAUAUGGAGGAACACCGGUGGCGAAGGCGGCUCUCUGGAUUGUAACUGACGCUGAGGCGCGAAAGCGUGGGGAGCAAACAGG